GAGAUAUUGGUAAAACUAUUACAUAACUUUGUCAAAGUUAAUUUAUAGGUUAAAACCCUAUGUGUCUUA
rfam:Papio anubis isolate 1X1155 chromosome 4, whole genome shotgun sequence.